rnacentral:rRNA from 1 species
GAUGAACGCUAGCGAUAGGCUUAACACAUGCAAGUCGAGGGGCAGCAUGGUCUUAGCUUGCUAAGACUGAUGGCGACCGGCGCACGGGUGCGUAACGCGUAUGCAACUUGCCUCACAGAGGGGGAUAACCCGUCGAAAGACGGACUAAUACCGCGUACACUCUAUUUUGGGCAUCCAAGGUAGAGGAAAUGAAAUUCGCUGUGAGAUAGGCAUGCGUCCCAUUAGCUAGUUGGUGAGGUAACGGCUCACCAAGGCGACGAUGGGUAGGGGAACUGAGAGGUUGAACCCCCACACUGGUACUGAGACACGGACCAGACUCCUACGGGAGGCAGCAGUGAGGAAUAUUGGGCAAUGGGCGAGGGCCUGAACCAGCCAAGUCGCGUGAAGGAUGACUGUCUUAUGGAUUGUAAACUUCUUUUGUAGGGGAAUAAAGAGGGGCACGUGUGCCCCAGUGAAUGUACCCUACGAAUAAGCAUCGGCUAACUCCGUG